UACAGAGGGGGCGAGCGUUGUUCGGAUUUACUGGGCGUAAAGGGCGCGCAGGCGGCGCAUUUGGUCAGGCGUGAAAGCCCCGGGCUUAACCUGGGAACUGCGUUUGAUACGGAUGGGCUAGAGUUCGGGAGAGGAGAGUGGAAUUCCCAGUGUAGAGGUGAAAUUCGUAGAUAUCGGAAGGAACACCGGUGGCGAAAGCGGCGCGCUGGACCUCUUCUGACGCUGAGGCGCGAAAGCCAGGGGAGCAAACGGG
rnacentral:rRNA from 1 species